rnacentral:lncRNA from 1 species
UGGUCUUGUGAUCCUGUUAGAUUACAUAUGGACAUCCAAAUAGGCACUGAGAGGCUGUUUGGACGUUACUGUAGGAUUUAAUAUUCCUGCAAGACUAAAAAUCCUAUAGGAAUCGGACAUGGUAGCCCAUCCAGCUGAUAUUUUCAAAGGAUCUGCACAAAUCCCAACCCUAUCCUAAUCUGUGGGCCUGUUGGGCUGCAGGAAGGGA